rnacentral:rRNA from 1 species
AUACGUAGGGGGCGAGCGUUGUCCGGAAUUAUUGGGCGUAAAGAGUUCGUAGGCGGUUUUUUAAGUCAGAUGUGAAAGGCUACAGCUCAACUGUGGUAAGCAUUUGAAACUGAAAGACUUGAGUUAAGGAGAGGAAAGUGGAAUUCCUAGUGUAGCGGUGAAAUGCGUAGAUAUUAGGAGGAACACCAGUUGCGAAGGCGGCUCUCUGGACUGUAACUGACACUGAGGCACGAAAGCGUGGGGAGC